rnacentral:rRNA from 1 species
UGGGGAAUAUUGGACAAUGGGCGAAAGCCUGAUCCAGCCAUGCCGCGUGUGUGAAGAAGGUCUUCGGAUUGUAAAGCACUUUAAGUUGGGAGGAAGGGCAGUAAGCGAAUACCUUGCUGUUUUGACGUUACCGACAGAAUAAGCACCGGCUAACUCUGUGCCAGCAGCCGCGGUAAUACAGAGGGUGCAAGCGUUAAUCGGAAUUACUGGGCGUAAAGCGCGCGUAGGUGGUUCGUUAAGUUGAAUGUGAAAGCCCCGGGCUCAACCUGGGAACUGCAUCCAAAGCUGGCGAGCUAGAGUAGGGCAGAGGGUGGUGGAAUUUCCUGUGUAGCGGUGAAAUGCGGAGAUAUAGGAAGGAACACCAGUGGAGAAGGCGACCACCUGGGCUCAUACUGACACUGAGGUGCGAAAGCGUGGGGAGCAAACAGG